UCUCAACGAGGCUGAGGAUAAUAUCGGUGCAGAUGAGGACACCCGAGCGUCCGAUGCCGGCGCUGCAGUGGACCGUGAUGGGCCCCUGGCGGUGCACCGAACGUUUACUGAAGCAGAUGAAAUCAUCUCAUAAAUCUUUCACAGACUUCUCACCAUUCCAUUUGGCCUUGGGCGUCACUGGCUGGUCAUCUCUGGAACAUAGGAAAGACACAAACAGAUCACCUGCAACUCUUGAUGAGCUGGUCGAAAGCAGACUGGAGAUGAGACGGGUGAUGUGGGAGAAGCGGGUGAGGCCGGCGAGAUUGGCGUGGGAGGCGAUGUGGGAGAAGAUGGUACGGGAGGUGACCCCGCCGGUGGUGAAGAUGGAGGCUUCUGUUCGCCUUGCACCUCCCUCUCUUGUCCUUCAAAGAAUCUUGGAACUGCUGGAGGCUCUGGAUUUUUCUCCCCUGUGUCGGCAAACUCCUCCUCGAGGGCGGGAGCUGGAGCAGGUAGUAUGUUGACAUCAAAUUGAAACUUAAGAAGCUGACUGUAGUCGUCCCCGAGACGGAUGUCCAGAGAACGGGAUCGGUGGUCCCUGGUGGGUGCAGGACUCUAACACAGAAACACAUUAAAAUAGUACUUAAUGUAAUUUGGCUGAUGAGAUGUUCGUUAAGUUACAUUUUUACUCACCAGUGUUUUGUCAUCAGCAUCGUACAGCACUCCUGGGCCGGGUCGACAGAUCAGGAGAUGAACCUCAGUGGAGGCUCCUCGUAGCAGGAACAAAACCCUCUAAGGUAGCAAAGAUAAACAAUUCGGGUUAGUUCUCAUGCCCUGAGAUGUUUUCCCGUGUUUGUGUGACAGACAGUAAUUCCUUGUCAGAACACACCAAAACACUGUGACACAAGCAGCUUGCUAUUUUAGGUCGCAUUAGAUUAAAAGAUUAGUGAACCAAUGCUGCACUGCCUGGUACUGCCUUUUUUUUAAACACGCAUGGCGGCUCAUCGGAUGAUAUAAAUGAAGCCUAUUAAAAUAAUUUCCUCCGCUGAGCACAACAGCACGAGAGGUAUUGUUUUCACGUUCCAAUCGUGUUAGUGUCACUUUUUUUACUCACUGAGGAUACCGAUACCAAGCACCGAUACCAUUAGCACUUUGAUAGAUAAAAUACCUGGUAGGAAAGGUCCUUGACAGGUUCUUUGUUGACAGACAGAAUGAUGUCCCCUUCUUGUAGGAGACCACUCUCAUGGGCCGGCUGACCCGGGAAGAGACGCUUGAUACGGACCACGCUGCCACGGUCUUGCCCCGAGUUGAGUCGGGAAAUGUUAAAACUGAAGCCUAGACCUGACAAAUUUUUCUUCAGGAUCACUUCAUGCGUGUUUUCUAGGAAAAUAAUUUGAGAAAAUUCAUUUUGAAUUCUGGUGCAAAACAUUCUGGUUAUUUUAUGAUACAUUGAAAAGUGCUGUGCAAAGGUUUUGGGCCACCCCUAUGCAGUGGUCAAUAUCUAGAAGCAGUGAACUGUGAUUUUAACCAGACUUGUCUCAGGGGAAUAAGAGGCAACGUCAGCCCUGGAUGACUCUGACAGCCACCACAAUGUAACUGUCAGAUGACUCCCAGUCACCUCAGGCCUGUCUGUGCGUGUGUCUCUAACACUUUUCGUGUUUUUUUUGCUUUGGUGAGCGCACACACACUUACCAUCAGUCACAAAGCUGUAGUCCUUGGCUCGUCCACUCAAGGUUGUUCCCAAGGAGACCUCGUUCCUGGGGGGCUGAGUUUGUGAUGCGUUGUGGAUGGAGGGUGAGAGGGGCGAGUCGGGUCUGGGCUCCAAGAUGACUUUUGGUUCCCGCUCCAGGAGCAGGUUCACCACCUAUCACAACAUGUUAUUAGUCUACACUUUGUGUUUCUUUUUCUUGUCUAUGAUGUGUGUCUGGAUGCACAUUUCAGUGUGUGUGCGCAUGACAACCUCCUCGGUCCGCUUCAGGCACUCGACAGCAUGUCGGUGUGUCACGGCCCUCAGGUUGUAGCCGUCAACCUCCAGCAGUCUGUCACCUGUCAAAUGCAAACACAGCAAUCUCAUCAUCGUCAUCAUUAGCGCCGUCAAUACAUCAAUGUGUGUGUUUGUGCAUUUCUGCGUAUGUGCGUUUGAUGGACAUGUCAUCAAAUCUGAGGUGAUCUUGGUAAGUGGAGCAUAAACAAGUAGAAACGUACUGUCUCUGUCCACACACUGUGCAUGGCUGACAACAACUAAAAUAAGGCAGAAAAAAAGGAACCGAUGAAAAUAAAUUACCAAUUUGAAUGCGUCCAUCCUGCUCAGCAGCACCUCCAACUACCAGGCUCUUGAUGUAGAUGCCGCCAUACCUCACACUUGUGUUGAUUCCUCCCUUUUUUUUAAGACACAAUUAAUCAAUGCCACACAAAAAAAGUGUGCUAAAAAAACCUGCUAAAAGCACACAAAGCUUGAAUUAAAAUAAGCAAGAUGUUUUGCUUUUUUUCUACUCACAGCAACACUAAUCCCAAGACUCCCGCCGCUCUUCUUAAGCUCCACUAUAAACCUUUCUCCAGUUUUUAGACUUACGAUAGAGAGAGACCUAGAACACAUGUCCUGACACAAGAAAAAAAAACUAUAAGCAACUUUAUAUGAAGAUGGUCUUUAUCGUACUAACCUGUGGGUCAUGUAUUCGCACCACAGGUAUGUGAAACUUCCUGUUUUGCUUGGGCGUGGCCAUGCUGGACAGAGUGAUGGCCUCCUCUAAUUCAUCCAUGGCGUGUCGAUAUUCGGUGCCACUUAAGGUGGUCUGAGAGCCAAAUGCCAAGCCCAGUGUGCUCUGGCAAAGGGAGUUCUUGCUGUCUUUUAGAGACUCUGGUCAUAGAAAAACAAAACAAAACCAUUGAGACAGGUUCUGUGACAUUUAACGUCUGGGUUUAAUAGGUGCAUGUUACGUUUGGGCUGGGACACGAUCAGCUCCACUUCUUCAGGACUACUUUGUAAGAUGGCGGCUGCAUCGCUGAAUGUCACGCCUUCCAGACUUGUCUUAUUAAGGGAAAUUAGACGUCCACCUAGGGGGAAAAAAAAUCUCAAUUCAUUUGAAUCCCAAGUAAGUCGGAUGUACUUUUAAGUCCUACCUGGUCUAAUCCGUCCAUCUUUGUCCGCAGGUCCAUCUGGUACAAUGGAAGCAAUGAAAAUACCAAGGUCGAGUUUACCUGUAUUGUCCUCGCCGACAAUCACAAAACCUGCAAUGAGAGCACAGCAAAGUCAGAGACAAAAGUCCUCUGUUAAAGAAUCAGGCUGAUGGAGGACUCGCUGAAGGUGAUGGAAGGACUGUGAGACCUGCCCGGUGUCUUAGGAGAAACGUCGUGGUGGGGGCUCCGGCCGAGCCAACUGCAGGUGCUGUCCCUGUGACGAGCCCCUCGCGGGAGCCUGCGUUGCGAAGGGGAAGAGAUCAAAUUCCAGCACUAACUCACCAUGAAGCCUUUCUCUGAUCAUCUGGCUCCGCCCACUCAGAGGCAAGCUGCUGUCAGAGCUAUGGUCCAUCUGAGAGAAUAAGGACUGCUGCCUGAUGACGUCGGAAGAUGGUGGCAAGUUUGAGGCUUUCUGACGACACUCACAGGAUUCCAGGAUGGAGCUGAUAGUUUGCCUGCGAUGGGACACGUCCUCACACAUGCUGAGGAGGAGGCUGUUGAGAUGGUCGCUCAACUGGACUGGCUGAGAGGAGAUGUUAAAAAUCAACCUACCUCCAAACCGUAUAAUACUCAACCUCCCUGAAGUUCUAGAAACAGAAUUUGAAGACUGAGAUGGGUUCUUCAAAUCUUGAGUCAGACUCGAGUUGACAGUUUUAUGACUUGCAACUAGCUGGAACAACUUUUUUUUUUUUCCUGGGUAUUCAACAAAGUCGACUAAACUUUUAAUGGAAAAUUAAUUAAAUGCAUUUUGCAAUAUGUCUGAAAUAUACAAUGUGAGAGAAGUGUAGUGCUGUGAAUGCUGUCUGGAUGAUGAAAGCUCACCUGAUUUUGAGGUAGGUGAAAAUCA